AAUCAACGCUGGCGGCGUGCCUCAGACAUGCAAGUCGAACGAUUAAAGCUCUCUUCGGAGAGUGUAUAGAGUGGCGCACGGGUGAGUAACACGUAAGUAAUCUACCUUCGAGUGGGGAAUAACCCGGGGAAACCCGAGCUAAUACCGCAUAAUGCAGCGGCAUCUAAUGAUGACAGUUGUUAAAGAUUUAUCGCUUGAAGAGGAGCUUGCGGCAGAUUAGCUAGUUGGUAAGGUAAUGGCUUACCAAGGCUACGAUCUGUAACCGGUCUAAGAGGACGGUCGGUCACACUGACACUGAAUAACGGGUCAGACUCCUACGGGAGGCAGCAGUCGGGAAUUUUGGGCAAUGGGCGAAAGCCUGACCCAGCAACGCCGCGUGAAGGAUGAAGUAUUUCGGUAUAGUAAACUUACGAAAGAAUAGGAAGAAUAAAUGACGGUACUAUUUAUAAGCUCCGGCUAACUACGUGCCAGCAGCCGCGGU
rnacentral:rRNA from 1 species